UACGUAGGGAGCAAGCGUUGUCCGGAAUCAUUGGGCGUAAAGCGCGCGUAGGUGGCCAUGUAAGUCCGCUGUGAAAGUCAAAGGCUCAACCUUUGAAAGCCGGUGGAUACUGCAUGGCUAGAGUACGGAAGAGGCGAGUGGAAUUCCUGGUGUAGCGGUGGAAUGCGCAGAUAUCAGGAGGAACACCGGUGGCGAAGGCGGUUCUCUGGGCAUGUCCUGACGCUGAGGAGCGAAAGUGUGGGGAGCGAACAGG
rnacentral:rRNA from 1 species